rnacentral:rRNA from 1 species
GAUGAACGCUGGCGGCGUGCCUAAUACAUGCAAGUCGAGCGAACAGAUAAGGAGCUUGCUCCUUUGACGUUAGCGGCGGACGGGUGAGUUACACGUGGAUAACCUACCUAUAAGACUGGGAUAACUUCGGGAAACCGGAGCUAAUACCGGAUAACAUAUUGAACCGCAUGGUUCAAUAGUGAAAGGCGGCUUUGCUGUCACUUAUAGAUGGAUCCGCGCCGUAUUAGCUAGUUGGUAAGGUAACGGCUUACCAAGGCAACGAUACGUAGCCGACCUGAGAGGGUGAUCGGCCACGCUGGAACUGAGACACGGUCCAGACUCCUACGGGAGGCAGCAGUAGGGAAUCUUCCGCAAUGGGCGAAAGCCUGACGGAGCAACGCCGCGUGAGUGAUGAAGGUCUUCGGAUCGUAAAACUCUGUUAUCAGGGAAGAACAAAUGUGUAAGUAACUGUGCACAUCUUGACGGUACCUGAUCAGAAAGCCACGGCUAACUACGUG